rnacentral:rRNA from 1 species
UACAGAGGUCUCAAGCGUUGUUCGGAUUCAUUGGGCAUAAAGGGUGCGUAGGCGGCGCGGUAAGUCGGGUGUGAAAUCUCGGAGCUUAACUCCGAAACUGCAUUCGAUACUGCCGUGCUUGAGGACUGGAGAGGAGACUGGAAUUUACGGUGUAGCGGUGAAAUGCGUAGAUAUCGUAAGGAAGACCAGUGGCGAAGGCGGGUCUCUGGACAGUUCCUGACGCUGAGGCACGAAGGCCAGGGGAGCAAACGGG